AACGACCGGUCGGACACGCGUGCCCUUCAAGCAGGCGGAUCCGGCCCACAAGUGGAGGCUCCGAACUCCCACCCGACCACCCUCCGGGGCGGCGGGUCACCCCGGUCAGGCGGCCCCCAUCGUUCCGUACGGACGAUGGAGUCGCCCGGUAGUGCGCCCCGCGAUCCUUGCGGCGGUGCUCCGGUAGUGCUUGGAGCCCCGCGUGUGAUCGUUGGGGCAUUUUUU
rnacentral:ncRNA from 1 species